AACCAUCCUGAAACCAGAGGAAAUGGAAACUCAGCUUUUCAGAGCUUACGUAUAUAGAGCGAUUCAAGAAUUACAGGCGCAAACUGCGAGGGCUGCGAUUGAGGUUGUCGAAAGAAAAGGAAAAGUCUUUUUGGACGAAAGCGAGCUCGGUUUGUAGAAACGUGGUAGUUUAUGUGUAUGGUUUGGCACUUGGCCCAUUUUUUUUUUUUUUUUUUUGUUAAAACUUAUCAAAUCCUGUAGUUUUUAACCUGAAAAGUCCGAAAAUGCAAGUUAAAAGUUUGGGGAACCAACGGUUUAAAAGAUAUGGGUACAUGAAGAUGUGUAUCUUUGGCGUACUUUGAUAGGUUCUUUGUCAUGCAAUCGAUGGCCUAAUUCCGUGCACCUACGUCGCACCGUUCCAGGAACCCCAUCAAGCGUGUGGCGGAAAGGUCCCUAGAUUGGACCGCAGCAUUAUAGCACUCAGAUGCCAGUCAAGUGUUCGACCAGUCCCAAUCCUCCUCGAGACUGUUCGAUCGACCAAUUUCGUUCCACCUUCGAUUUGUCCCCAUCACCGAUCCAAUCGCCGACCACAACGAUCCGCCAAAGAAAAGAAAUAUCAAUCCACUUCCAGUGUUGCCACCUUUGCUAAUAGAAGCAACACCAACCUCUGAAAUUAUUUCUUCAACACUAUUGGAUCUAUUGGUGGUUCGCUACGCGUCUUCUGGAAAACGUCGGCCAUUGGAGCAAAAAUGUGCGGAGCUUUUUGCCCUCCAGUCGUCUCUUCCAGCAACAAUGGCGAAGAGGUCGAGCGAUCAAGACCGAGUGGAUCCGAUGUCACGUGGGCACGCGUCCCGAUUUUUAUAAUUCGUGGCUCAUCGUGAAUAGCGCGGCACUUAUAGCGAAUUCGUAGGCGUUAAAUAAUGUUUCCUUAGUCAAUUUACUGUUAGUGCCUGUGUUCGAUAUAACCUGCGUCGGCCAGUACGGAUCGCAUAUUUACGAGCGUGCCGUAAAGCUCGCUUAGACGCGCGCGUUGCGCUAUUCGCUACAAUAAAUUGGAGCAGGCCAACUUGUCUCGUGCUGUAGGUUUUACGGAAUGAUCAUCCUUAUUGGCGGCGAUAACGAUCUUACGUCCAAAUAAUUUACAACGCUCGAGUUGGUGCGUGUGCGUUGAAACGAUACGGAGAAGCAUCUCUUCUCAUUAUGCACGUUCGAAAGUAAAUUAUAUUUUCAUUGUUUUGAAAUUGUGUGGUACCUACGUCUCACAGAGUAGCGUAGUGUGAGUCUAGGAUUAUUUAUAUUAAACGAAUCGUUAGAGCCCUAUUAAGAUUAUAAAAUUGAUUACGUGAUUAACUGUAAACAAUUGUUACUGAUAAAAAGACCAUGUAAUUAUAAGAAUACAA